CAUGGGCCUCAAAUAAUGUGU
rnacentral:rRNA from 1 species